GAUGAACGCUGGCGGCGUGCCUAAUACAUGCAAGUCGAGCGAACGGACGAGAAGCUUGCUUCUCUGAUGUUAGCGGCGGACGGGUGAGUAACACGUGGAUAACCUACCUAUAAGACUGGGAUAACUUCGGGAAACCGGAGCUAAUACCGGAUAAUAUUUUGAACCGCAUGGUUCAAAAGUGAAAGACGGUCUUGCUGUCACUUAUAGAUGGAUCCGCGCUGCAUUAGCUAGUUGGUAAGGUAACGGCUUACCAAGGCAACGAUGCAUAGCCGACCUGAGAGGGUGAUCGGCCACACUGGAACUGAGACACGGUCCAGACUCCUACGGGAGGCAGCAGUAGGGAAUCUUCCGCAAUGGGCGAAAGCCUGACGGAGCAACGCCGCGUGAGUGAUGAAGGUCUUCGGAUCGUAAAACUCUGUUAUUAGGGAAGAACAUAUGUGUAAGUAACUGUGCACAUCUUGACGGUACCUAAGCAGAAAGCCACGGCUAACUACGU
rnacentral:rRNA from 1 species